rnacentral:rRNA from 1 species
GACGAACGCUGGCGGCGUGCUUAACACAUGCAAGUCGAACGGAAAGGCCCUGCUUUUGUGGGGUGCUCGAGUGGCGAACGGGUGAGUAACACGUGAGUAACCUGCCCUUGACUUUGGGAUAACUUCAGGAAACUGGGGCUAAUACCGGAUAGGAGCUCCUGCUGCAUGGUGGGGGUUGGAAAGUUUCGGCGGUUGGGGAUGGACUCGCGGCUUAUCAGCUUGUUGGUGGGGUAGUGGCUUACCAAGGCUUUGACGGGUAGCCGGCCUGAGAGGGUGACCGGAGGAAGUGGGAGGGAGAGAAGGACGAGCGUGGUACGGGAGGAAGGGGGGGGGAGUAGGAGAAAGUGGGAUGGAGGGUGGCGAGGCCAAGUAGUGUGGGGGAGGAAGAGAGUGGGGUAGAGAAAAGAAUUCGCCGGAGAAGAAGCGGGAGGGAGGGGAAUGGGAAAAGAAGCAACGGAUAGCUUCGUG